UCGAUCCUUCAUGGUGGCGGCGGUGGCACCCCUCCAAUACCUACUCCAUCCAACCACACUGAUCUCGAAUCAGCUAAAAGAAACGCGAACGACACGAUGCGUUCACCAUCUUCCCUCUUCCCGCACCUCCUUCGCCUCCUCCAGUGGAGGGAUCACGUGUGCGAGAUCCCCCGGGGUCCUUUGAGGGCGUGGUGACGGCGCUCUAUUCCGUCCACCAGGGACGCUGGGGUGGGCAGUGGGGCGGCGGUGCAGAGUGGCGGUGGCUGCAGUACGGGUGAGAUGGGCCGGCGACCGGACGGGAGGAUCACUUGGGCGCCAUUGUGCAGUUGAAAGAAAAAACAGUGGUCGGGCUACCUUCCGUCUGAUUGGAUUCGAUCCAAAAUUAGUUUUUCUUUUGAAGCUAUGAGUAGGUGUGUUUGGAAUUGGAAACACAUCUCGUGAUUACUUGAUUUUUUUCAUCUAAUUUGGCUUGUUUGCGUGCUUCAGUGACUAUAUGAUUCGUUGCUUGGUGGAGACCACCAUUGCAGUUGUGCACAACACGAACGGCGUUCUGGUUCUCAUCCAUGGGGCUGCGGCCAGAGGGGAGCUCCUCGCAGGAUGUGGUGACAACUGAAAUAAAUUGCAUUGGUUCGUGUUGUGGACAGUGAAGAAAAAGAAACUACAUGUUUUACUGGUUGAGGUUGCUGUUUACUUGUUCGACGGAAUGCCAAACACAGGUUCCUGGAUCUGCCACUAUCCUGCACCAGCUGACAUACCCAGCGACCUCACGAUCCCACAGAGCAUAAAAUGUUCUAAAGAAAAUGCAUAUGGUGCAAGUUAUCGGUGUUGCAUCCUUCUGCCACCUUCAGGGUGCUUUUUGUCAGAGGAAACAAGAGUUAGGUUUGUUAUCACGGAGUUAUCUAUCAGCGUUAAUAUUUUUUACUACACUUGUCCUUACUAAUACUAUUAUUUAUCUGGAAGCUAAUUAGUCCUAAUAAGGCUAAUAUCUAAUCAAAGCUUCAACCUUACCUAAGAAAGAUAUAGUAGGAUUUGGACCUAAAUUACAAGUUGGAAGAGACUCAAACUCUAAAUAGAUUGCUCAAGACCAUUGGGCAUUGAUGGGCGAGAAAUGGCACAGUAUGUAGAUAUAAAGAAUGCUAAAAAGAGCUCUGCCAUCUUCUAUGUACAAAUUGGUAAAGUUCUUAUAUUUUAUCCGAGUUCCUAUUUUCUUAUGUUUGGUGUCUUCAAAUUUUCCACCUAUCUGUUCUUGGUUAGGUCAGACCAUAUGCUUCUCACGGUAUGCCCACUCGACGUCCCUCCAAUCCAAAUCAAAUUAGCACAUAUGCUCAUUAUUUUGCCAAAUCCAUUUUUAUACUUUGUAACCCCUUUAAAUUUUUUCAUGUGGGUCAUAGGUACUGAUUGAAGUACUUGUUAUUUAAAAAAAGCAUGUGUGAAUCA